rnacentral:rRNA from 1 species
UACGGGGGGGGCAAGCGUUGUUCGGAAUUACUGGGCGUAAAGGGCUCGUAGGUGGCCAACUAAGUCAGACGUGAAAUCCCUCGGCUUAACCGGGGAACUGCGUCUGAUACUGGAUGGCUUGAGUGUGGGAGAGGGAUGCGGAAUUCCAGGUGUAGCGGUGAAAAUGCGUAGAUAUCUGGAGGAACACCGGUGGCGAAGGCGGCAUCCUGGACCAUUACUGACACUGAAUAGCGAAAGCCAGGGGAGCAAACGGG